CAGGCCAGCUCCAGGUAGCCGUGAAAGUCAAUUCUCAAAUUUUCAGGAAUCUCAAGAGGUGGUUGUUAAGCACAGUCACAAUUAACAGCUAAAAUUAUAUGAAUUUGCAAUGAAAUAAACUGUAUUAAAAGUAAGGCAAAAAAAAAAAUAAAAUAAGGCAAUAAGUUCCCAAAGCUCAUCACCUACUAAUUCUUCUCCAUUCCUUCAUAUGAGUGCUCUCCAUGCCAUUUAGGCCUGUGGUGGGAAUACUGAUGGGAGUCUGCGGUGCAGCCCUUUCCAGCCCUGCUUCAGUGAUAUCAUCUUGGAACCUUGAAAUCAAUCAUGGUGGGAAAAUUGACACUGUGAAAACUGGAAAACACAAAUCAUGACCUCUCCCGCCCUGAAAAGGCUGAUGUUACAGCGUUUACAGGCAUACCACUCUGGUGAACCUAUGUUGUGUUCAUACGUGAUGUUUACUAAUUUGAAAAAAAUUUGGCUUGUAUUCCAAACACAUUACCAGUUUACAGUUUACAUGGGGCUAUUUUUGCCUAAUUUUGCAAAUGGGUUGUGCAUGAGAGAGAGAGAGUCUUGCAGGCCCAGUUUGUAAGUCAACUGGGCUGUAGUUCUUGAACACACAUCCUAUAUUAGUGUGCUGAUUUGGGGAAGGAAUGGGCUUGGAGCCCCACCCUGAGCCUAUCCUUCAGUUUGAUUACUCCAAGAAGGGGGAAAGUACAGAAGGGCGGUGCUAGAUGCAUGAAGUCUGUGCUCACGCUUAAAUUGCUACAUUUCAGAAAUGUCAAUUUGCUCUAUUAUUUGGACUUUAUCAUCCACCCAUUACAGUCAUUUCUUCUGCACAGUAUACGCCCUGUUUCCAUUUUGUCUUUGGCAGCCCAGACGUAUUAUUGGGCCCUUUAACAUCUGUUUCAACAACAAUGUGUCCUUGGUAAGAAAAACUAAUUAAAAACGAAGUCCCAAACAAAAUACCACAACUUAUGGUACAGUAAAUAUGGUUCCCAGGCAAAGAAAGAGAAAUCUUUCAUAUGGUUGGAGUUAUUUAUAAAACUACGACAAGCGAUGAAAGACUUGAACCAUGUUGUGAGCUGGAGGCUGCAAGAGAGGCUGCGAAGUAGCCAGCCUUGUGGAUCUGGGCUGCUUAGCCAGGGCCUCAUGGAUUGGCAAAGCCAUGCUCUGGUGAUCAGCUGUAUGAAUAACAAAAUGCACUGGAUCCUAAAACAUUUGCUCAACCCUUCUUGUUCAUUCUCCCAUCAAAUUUUCACUCAUCAAGAUAUAAGUUCAAAGGGCUGGUGAUUUCCUGAUAGGCUAAAUAGUUUUUCCUAGUCUGGCAGCCACAAGAGGAGUGAGGUUUACAUUAAGCUGAUGAAAUGCAAGUAAUAAUAGACAAAACAUAGAGAUGUAGGACCAAGGACAAGGAAAAAUUCCAUCAAA
rnacentral:lncRNA from 1 species